GAUGAACGCUGGCGGCGUGCAUAAUACAUGCAAGUCGAACGCAUUGUGGUUGAAAUGAUAUGAAGAACUUGUUCAGAUUUGAUUUUCAACAUUGCAAUGAGCGGCGAACGGGUGAGUAACACGUGGGAAACCUACCUCUUAGCAGGGGAUAACAUUUGGAAACAAAUGCUAAUACCGUAUAAUAAUUAAAACUGCAUGGUUUAGUUUAAAAGAUGGUCUUGCUAUCACUAAGAGAUGGUCCCGCGGUGUAUUAGUUAGUUGGUGAGGUAAUGGCUCACCAAGACAAUGAUACAUAGCCGAGUUGAGAGACUGACCGGCCACAAUGGGACUGAGACACGGCCCAUACUCCUACGGGAGGCAGCAGUAGGGAAUCUUCCACAAUGGACGAAAGUCUGAUGGAGCAACGCCGCGUGUGUGAUGAAGGUUUCGGCUCGUAAAACACUGUUGUAAGAGAAGAAUGACACUGAGAGUAACUGUU
rnacentral:rRNA from 1 species